GUCUGCGCCGUGGCCGCCGCCGCCGCCGCUGCCUGUCGCCGAGCCUGGCAUCUCCGAGCCCCCGCGCGGGGGGCUGCCGCCCAGCGCUGAUUGACAGCCCGCCUCGCCAAUGCCUGGAGGGAGAAAGGAGGUGUCUUUGUGGGCACCGAGGGAUAUAAUGGUGAGACGUACCAGGGUCCAUUGAGGGAAUAAGGAGAAGAUAAUAAAUUAGUUGCCAACUUGCAAAUUUUUGAGAGCCGCAAUUACUGAGAAAGGAUUUGUCUGACAGCAGAGAGAGUUUUCAAAUCAGCAGCUGUGUGAUCCUUUUAAAAUAGAAUUGUGCUUCUCUUGGGUGGGUGUGGUGAUAUAUGCCUAUGAUCCCAGCAUUUGGGAGGCAGAAGCAGGCAGACCUCUGUUAGUUCAAGGCCAAGCUAGUGUACAUCAUGAUAUCUGGGACAGUCAUAGGGCUACAUAGUAACACCCUGUAGAGACCGUGUCUUAAAACAAAACAAGACAAAACAAAAACAACCACACACACACACACACACACACACACACACACACACACAAUCAGCUUCCAGUCUCCCCUUCAUUGUCUUUCCCCUCUGUGGUUACACUUUGCCUCUUAGAGCACAUUCCUCUCUCCACUGCAGCCUCACUGGUCUUUUUGAGCAGGUCAAAGGUAUUUUAGCUGGCAUGUUUUUCCCUGGAGUGUAUACACAGUUCUUUUCCAUAUCUCUUGUACGUUUUCCUGUGGUAUCCCUGUUUCAGUGAGGCCUUCACUAAGCUCCCUGCUUACAACUGUAACCCUGGCCCUUUCUUGUCACACACACACACACACACACACACACACACACACACACACACACACCUCCCUUCCUAUCUAGCACUGUCACUGUCUGUCAUACUAUGAAGUGCCAUUGUGGUGAGAUUAUAACUCCCUCACAGGAAGGGAGGUCUGCUGAGUCAGCAGGUAGACUAGUGCCUAGCACAUGACAGAGCCCCAGUGAACCUGCUGGGUGAGGAAUGGCUUGAAGAGCUGUGGAAGCAGCUGGAGGAAGUGCUAACAUUACCUAGAUGGAGAGGGGAGAGGCAGCAGUCAUGCUAGAGGGACGAGAGAACACUUCAGUAUUUCAGUGUUUCAGGAAGCGCAUAUCCUAUUGCAGCCAGCUCCGAGCAGAGGAAAGGUUCAACCUUCGUUCUCUCUUCCAAAUGAAGUCUGUAAUAGUUUUCUUUUCUUUCUGUAAAGGAGGCUCUGUUGAGCCUGUUUGGAAAAGUGAUGUCCUUUUAAAGAAUAUAUAAAGGCAGUCAUUUU
rnacentral:lncRNA from 1 species